rnacentral:rRNA from 1 species
GAUGAACGCUGGCGGCGUGCUUAACACAUGCAAGUCGAACGAUGAAGCCCAGCUUGCUGGGUGGAUUAGUGGCGAACGGGUGAGUAACACGUGAGUAACCUGCCCUUGACUCUGGGAUAAGCCCGGGAAACUGGGUCUAAUACCGGAUAGGAGCGCCUGUCGCAUGACGGGUGCUGGAAAGAUUUUUCGGUCAUGGAUGGACUCGCGGCCUAUCAGCUUGUUGGUGAGGUAAUGGCUCACCAAGGCGACGACGGGUAGCCGGCCUGAGAGGGUGACCGGCCACACUGGGACUGAGACACGGCCCAGACUCCUACGGGAGGCAGCAGUGGGGAAUAUUGCACAAUGGGCGGAAGCCUGAUGCAGCGACGCCGCGUGAGGGAUGACGGCCUUCGGGUUGUAAACCUCUUUCAGCAGGGAAGAAGCGAAA